UGAAAAUAAAAUAAAAUAACAUGAACCAUUUUCCCCAAAUUUCAACCGGUAGCCUCUUCCUUAUCUUGACCUAAGCACUCGACGAAAAAGCUUCCACCUGAAGCAAAAUCGGUCGACGCACUCAUCGUCACCGCCAACGACACCGACAAAGGUGUACAUACGUUUAGUGAUAUUGAGUUUUUGCUUAGUUAAACGGGUUUACCAUGUCUUAUAGUUUAGAUAUUGAAAAUUGUUUCCUGCAAAUCUCACAAUCUUCCUAUAUUUGCAUAAUUUCAGUUACCAUGAAUGUUGGUAUCUGUUGAUGCUGUGAAGAAAUAUGUGAAUGAUAGAGAUGGUCACUAUGCUUUUGCCAUUGGUGAGAAUUUGACUUCUUGUUGUAAGUGUACUUGAAAUACUUAAGGGCGUGAUUGGAGAGUAGCUUAAAUGAUAAUUCUGAUUGAUGCUUCUUAGGAGUUCUUUUAGAGCAUGCUCAUUGAACACCUUUGCUCUGAUAGUUUGUGCACUCUGCUGUACAUAUGUAGAUCUCUCACAUUGUCUCUUACAUUCAUUUUUCUGAGUGGAAAUGCUUAUGUUAGGUUAGAUUUAUGUUGUCCUCAUGCUAGAUUAGGUGCCCUUCAGUUAACUAUACAGUCACCCCUCCACUUCAACGAACUAACUUUGACGUGAUAAUUUGUGAGUCUUAUUGUAGUACAAGAGGUGAAUAACCUGAAGCAAGCAUAGCCAUCACUAUUGAAGAAAAAAAUCUGCCACCCAUUCAGCUUUAUCUACAUUGGCAUAACAUUAGCAUCUUUUGGAUAGCAUAUUGUAGACAAUCCCAUUCAAAUUUGUCUACAUUUUGGAUAGUAUAUUGUUGCUUGCACUUUUGUAGUUUUAAUAUCCUCAAAUCAAUGUAAUUAUUGUUGCAGGGAGUGAUUAAGUUUCCAAUACAGACAAAUGAAAAAACAAGGCCUACUGCAUAGCAUACUGACACUGAUUUUGGUCUAGAGUUUCAAAAUUAUGAGUUUGUCGUUUAAGAUCGAUUCACAUUGUCUCAAUUGCAGUCAUCUACUAGAAUGAAAUGAAGAAAUUUGAGAGUUUGUCAUGGUUGCAAAAGCAACACGCACUACUUUGGACAAUGCCAAUCAAAACUCUGAUGCCUUAGUUGUGAGUGCAAAUAUCAAAAAUAUUUUGAGGUUGAACGGGAUACCAAUAACAAAGGCGAUUGUUCUUCACUGUAGUAAUAAUUGUGGAUACUUCGAUUGGGCGAAAAAUGAAGUUUUAGAUGAGGAAUCGAAUUCCGUUAAUCAUACAUUGAAUCAUGUACCCAAUGAGAAAGACGAAGAGUUGCCAAUACUGUUUGACGAGUUAGCAAGAAUUAGUGAGAAAUAAGGUGUUGGCAUAUCAGUGCACAUAACUCUUAGCAAGGAAAAAAGAAUUGUCAAAUGUGAUGGGAAAGGAAAGGGAUCGAAUUGAAGGAGUGAUCUAAGUUAUAUAUGUGAAUUUCAAUUUGUAUAAUGAUAUGUUGCUUUUAUUCCACUAUAAAGGAUAUGCCUUCAGUUGUGAACCCACCCAAACCUUUUGUUUAGCUAUUUAUGUGGUUGUAGUGAGACCCCCAUUUUUUAUGGACUUUGGAUAAUACUGAUGACCAGGUUUGUUAUGAUUAUUGGAAAUGCUUUAAUGAUUAAGUUAAUUGCCUUCGUAACUUUACUUUGUCAAACUUUAAACUUUACUUUUAACUUGCUUGAUGGUUCAGUUAAUUGCCUGCAUAGAACAAAAACACAAAAAUGGAAAAGGUCACCUGGCAAUAAACCAGGCCAACACAAGUAGAUUGUUUACCAUUAACAAAGUCGUGAAAAGAAGGAAGUAGAAGAACUAGGCCAUGCUGGAUUUGUUUCAGAUAAAAUCAUAGACAGCAGCGAAAGUCCAUAGAAAGCCAUGACACUAUCACUUUUGUAAGCUCUAAUCAAAACUAUCCUAGACCUCAGUCCUUAAUAUUAUCACUAUUUACCAUCUUAUCUAGCUAACAUUGUCCCAAAACCAUCAGCUAAAGAAGGAGAUGGGAAGAGGCCAUGGGGGGUAAAACAGUCUUAUAGGAAUAACAGGAAAGAAAAAAGAACUGAAAACUCGAAGAGUGGUAUUCCACCUCCAAUUGCAAAUAACCUGAACAUAAACGAUACGCCAAUUUUGUAAAAUCUUCCCUAGUUUAUGCUUUUGCCAUGAAGUAAACAUUAAUGCUGAAAGCUUAUCUGAACACAUAUCAACAACCACAUAAAGCCUGCCAAUUAGCUACUCAACAUUGAACAUUCAUAAACAAGUAACUUCAAAUUGUAAUAAUUAUAUUUCCAAUACAAACAUUGAAAGAACGUAGUCAAAUUCUCGACCCUAUAUUUUAUAAAAAAAGUAGGUCCAACAUUAAUUACACCGAAAUUUCGUCAUAAAGUCAGUAUUCACUUCUCAAAGUGGAUGAUGUGAACGAUCUCCACUUCGUACUGCAGCAUACACACAACUACAACCAUAUGAUACAGAAAGAUGGCUUAAGUGCCCAAAAAUAAAAUAGCAUCAAGUAAAUUUGUCCACAUGUACCUUUCAUACGAGAAUCACAAGCCUCAGCCACCUCGAUCGAGUAAAUGUUGAUAGAAGUAUGGCAUGACAAAGUCUAGUUUAGAAGGUAAAAAAUAGAACACGCGUAAAUGACAAGUUGCAUAAAUAAAUACCUAAGAAACCUAAUAAGCAAUUAAUUUCUC
rnacentral:lncRNA from 1 species